GGAGGAGAAGGGGACGACAGAGGAUGAGAUGGCUGGAUGGCAUCACUGACUCGAUGGACGUGCAGAGGCAGAGAGCAUGGGCUCCUCCUGAGGAAAUUCACCUGCGAAAGGGCACAGGUGGUUUCACCUCACAGUCACCGAGGCGCACCGCACCAUUCGCUUACCGGACGCCUUCCGAGUCUGAGAUUGGCCUAAGUAACUUUCUUGAACAACUGAAUGCAGUAGAAGUGACAUUUUGAGGCUUCUGAGACUAGAUCAUCACAAGCAGACUUACAGACCCCACUGCUUCACUUUCUUGGAGCACUCACUCUUGGGGUUCUGAGCUGUCUUGUAAGUAAGAGGUCAACCACCCUGAGACUUCCCUGCUGGAAAGACGCAUAUGAAGAGAGCGUGGAGAGAGCAAUGCUGGCCGUCCCCAAGCUGUUCCAGCCUUCGGAGGCAGAUAUGUGAGUGAAGACAACGCCUUGAAGGACACUGCAGUCCCAGCAAAUAGCUGGUGAAGAAGAACCGAAGAAGCCAGCCAACAGCCUUACUGAGGCCCCAGAUAUAUAUGACCCCUGUGGGGCUGUCUCAGACAUCUCCAGCUGUUCAAACCACCCCAAUCGAGGAUCCAGGAUUUUGUGAAGCAAGAAUAAUCCAUCCCUGCUGCGCCCUGCCAGAACUAGUGACCCACAAAAUUGUGAGCACAGUAUGUGAUUAUCGUUUCAGAGCAAUAAACAACCAAACGCCUGGUAACCUCCUAGCUGGGUGAGCCCUGGUAG